rnacentral:misc_RNA from 1 species
UCUCCGUAGGUGAACCUGCGGAGGGAUCAUUACAGAGUUCAUGCCCUACCGGGUAGAUCUCCCACCCUAUGUUAUUAUUACUUUGUUGCUAUGGCGGGCCGUUAGGCUCCGGCCCGACUACCGGCCCCGGCUGGUAAGCGCCCGCCAGAGGACCCAAAACCCUGAAUAUUAGUGUCGUCUGAGUACUAUAUAAUAGUUAAAACUUUCAACAACGGAUCUCUUGGUUCUG